UGGGGCGUGGCCAAGUGGUAAGGCAACGGGUUUUGGUCCCGCUAUUCGGAGGUUCGAAAUCCUUCCGUCCCAG
rnacentral:tRNA from 1 species